rnacentral:rRNA from 1 species
CCAGACUCCUACGGGAGGCAGCAGUAGGGAAUAUUGCACAAUGGGGGAAACCCUGAUGCAGCAACGCCGCGUGGGUGAAGGAGCGUUUCGGCGCGUAAAGCCCUGUCAGCGGGGAAGAAGAAAGACGGUACCCGACCAAGAAGCCCCGGCUAACUACGUGCCAGCAGCCGCGGUAAUACGUAGGGGGCGAGCGUUAUCCGGAUUUACUGGGUGUAAAGGGAGCGUAGGUGGCAUGGUAAGCCAGAAGUGAAAACCCAGGGCUCAACUCUGUGGAUUGCUUUUGGAACUAUCAAGCUAGAGUGCUGGAGGGGUAAGCGGAAUUCCUAGUGUAGCGGUGAAAUGCGUAGAUAUUAGGAGGAACACCGGUGGCGAAGGCGGCUUACUGGACAGAAACUGACACUGAGGCUCGAAAGCGUGGGGAGCAAACAGGAUUAGAUACCCGAGUA